GCUUUCAAGAUGGCGAAGCCAAAAAUAAACAUUAAAAAGAUCGGAAAUUCUUUGUAUAAUUAUUAAUCUCGCAGUCAUGAAUCGAAGCUUAUAAUUUACAGAGUGGAAUUGAUUAAGGGUUAAAUUUGAAAAAAAUAUCGAAAACUUGUGGUCUUUGAGGCAUUUCAAAUCAUCGAUUGGCUGGAACAUGAUUUUUGGAAUCUCUCUACAGAUGGGUGGGCAGAUCAACCAGGGAUUCUGAAGUUGGAAACAAAAGCAAUGCUUCACGCGGAUGAUCCGGAGCUGAUGGCGGAAUGUACUAUAGCUAGAGAGCAGUGUAGCAACAAGCGGCGAUAGCUACAAUGCAACGGAAUUUAUAUUUUGUACACAGAAGGUUUGACUAAAAAUAUAGAAAAUAUGCAAAACCUUGUUUUGAUCGUUAAACAAAAGAAAAC